CUUCCAAUUGAAGAUCUCAUUGGGCUGGGAUUAUCAAUGACAUCAUUUGCCAGUAAGUUACUCAAAACUUACAAAUAUAAAAGUAAACCAAAAUAUUUUACUCAAACAAUGUUACAAGCUGAGAGAAAAAAUAAUAAACAUCUAUUCCUCGACCUUCAAUUUGAAGAUCUCAUAGAGCUGGGAUUAUCAAUGAUCAGCAUAGCCAGAUCCUCAAGAUUUGCAAUUAUGAAAAAAAAUGAAACAUCUUACUAGAACAUGUUAUAGGCUUAGAAAGAAAUGGAUAACAUCUAUUCCUGGACCUUCCAAUUGAAGAUCUCAUAAAGCUGGGAUUAUCAAUGACAUCAUUGCCAGAAAUUUCCUCUCAACGCUCCAUAUUUUAAGAGUAAAAUAAAAUACGGUGUACUCAAACAAUGUUAUAGGCUCAGAAAGAAUUCCUAGACCUUGUAUUCGAGGAUCUCAUCGAGCUGGGAUUAUCAAUGAAAUUAUUUCCAGUAAGUUCCUCAAGACUCAAAAUUAUAAACAUAAAAUGAAAUAUCUUCUUGGACAAUGUUAUAAGCUUGGACAUAAAAUGAUAACAAAUAAUCCUGGACCUUCCAAUUGAAGAUCACAUAGAGCUGGGAUUAUCAGUGACAUCAUUGCCAGCCAAGUUCCUCUAGACAUGAAAUUAUAGAAGUACAACUUUACUAGAAUGUACAGUAACAGAGAGAGGCAUGGUAUCAUUUCUCCUCCCAUUAAUUCAUGGCCCCCAUUUGGUUUUUCACGAAUUGUAAUGAGAUGAGGAUGCGAUUUCCAUUUAAUAAAAUUCAGAUUUUGAUUAUUAUGAAAUGCAAUCUACAUGGCUUAAACAGAGUAAUUUCCUCAACUACGAUUACUCAUUUUUAUAGGAUUACUUUAUACAGCAAGACUCCAAAACAAAACAGAAUAGCAUAUUUAUUAAUAGAUCAUCAUCACUGUUCUUGAUUUUUUUUUAAAAAAAGAACCUCUCAAAGCUCUCGACUUUCUACGCAAAAGUCAUGGUUUUACCUCAAAAGUCCAUCUGGGUCACAAGGAAACCAAGCACUUCGAAGUGCAGUCCGGCGAUCACAGGAUUUAAACCCGGUUUGAGCCCCAACAAACCCAAGAAGUUUAGGCCUGUCAAUCAAUUCUCCGUCUACCCGAACCAGAAUAAAAUGCUCGAAAAGUGUCCUCAGAUUUGCUACAACGAAAAACUGGAACAGGUUUGAGCCUGCAGAUCUGAGAUAGCGAUCCCAGAAAGGCCAGUGAGAAGAGAUAUCAGUGAAAAGACUAGAAAAGGUAGAGGGUAACGGGUUGAGGGAGGGAUAAAGUUGGGUUUUGAGGCUUUGGGAUUGUUGGUGGUUGGGAUGGCGGAGGAGAGUCAGAGAUGUAGCGGUGGGAAAAGUGUGGCAUUUGAUUUGGUGGAGAGCUACCGUGUUCGGUUGAACUGGAAGAGCGGAAGUGCGAAACAGGAGUAGAAGCAGGGUUCCGAGGAUGUUGUAAAAAAUUUCACAACUAACAAUGCUACGCUGUGAUUUAAUUUAUGUAUUUAUUUUUCUGCACAAUGAAAUAAAGUUUUUUUUAAAAAAAAAUAUAUU